rnacentral:lncRNA from 10 species
ACCUCCGCCCCCUGGGUUCAAGUGAUUCUCCUGUCUCAGCCUUCUGAGUAGCUGGGAUGACAGGCACACACCGCCCAGCUAAUUUUGUAUUUUUAGUAGAGACAGAUGGGGUUUCACCAUGUUGGCCAGGCUGCUCUCGAACUCCUGACCUCAGGUGAUCCACCUGUCUCAGCCUCCCAAAGUGCCAGGAUUAUAGGCCUGAGCCACCUUGCCUGGCCAGGGGCAUGGAUUUGAUCAACAGUUAGGUUUGCUGUCUGCCUCAGCCAUAUACCACGCCUAUCACUGACAGCCCAAAAAAGUGUACUUUAAUUACAGGGAGCAUCCAGGGAGGGGGAGCUGUGCAGCUCCUUCUUUGUUGACAGGAAAAAAUUCAG